UUUUUUUUUUUGUCUUUUCGAUUCUCAUUUCUAUCUCAUCUUUUCUCUUAAAACUUUCAUCUAGUUAACAUGAGUUACAAAGUAUAUGAAACUUUCGGUCUUGUCUCUCUCUAUGCUAGUAACGAAGAUGGAUAACUUGAUAUUAUCAUAGAAGAUCAUCUUUUCAAGAUCAAAUGAUAAUUGAAUCUAAAAGUUAAUCUAGACAUCAAGAAGGUUUCCUCAUAGGAUAGGAAUGACAGACUAAUCUAUACGGUAACUUCCUAGGUAGGAUUCUUUCUUGAACUUGCUUUAAGACAUGGUUGGAAGAUUUUUUUUGUUUUUAUUUUUAUUUUGUGGAGAAUAUGAAUUAUAUAUUAUUGGGAGGGUUAUGAUUUUUUAGAGGGCAACUUUUAACCCUCAUUUCAGUUUUUGUUAGAAAAAAUUAAGUUCAUUCUCAUUUGGCUGCAACUCUUUGGUCUUUCCUCCGGAGCUCAUUCAAUCCAAUCUCCUCACACAAUUUGUCUCUCAAUUAAACAUAUUCUUAAAAAUAGACUAGGGUAUCCUCUCUCACACAAGGGGUAAGUAUGCUUGUAUCUGUGUACUUCUAAAUCUUUCUCAACCAAGUCCCUUAGGAAAUUUGGAUUUAAGUUAGGGUUUUUAAUUUUUUUUCACAUAAUUACAUUUGAAAACAUUCUCAAUAUUUACUUCGGCAAAGUGGGCCAUAGAACCACCCAUCCCCUCGACCUUCCUUGCUAUUCCUAUCGGAACAUAAGGUUUUCCAUCAAGACAACGAAGGCUAGGGAUGAUCUCCUUUACAAACCUUGAGUCCAUGUUCAAAGCUAUACUAAACCCAAGCCCGUUAAGACCAACCUGCAUCUUCAAGACACAGGUAAAAAUAUCUCUUUCGACCCACCAAGUAACACCCUCCCCUUGAUAUGGUUCAAUCUAUUCAUACCCAUCAUGUAUCUGUAUCCGACCUAAGCCUUGGUCAGGAGGUGACCCAAGUCUCAUCACUUAUUUCCAAUGUAGUGUCCUCUUCGAUGAAGGUUCUUAAUGCAAUAACUCAUUUGUUGUCUUGUUUGUCACUCUUUUGCCAAUGCUUGUCACUAUGUUGUUGGUGAGCUCAAAGGCCAUUGAAAGUCAAGCGGGCAAGUUAAUGUCAUCACUCUCUCAAGCCUCUUAAUAUGUCAUGUGUGCCCAGGAGUAGCACAUAUUUUGAACUUAGAAUCGACUCUAAUCGUUCACCUAUUUCGACAAUAAAAUUUUCUAAAACCCAUCACUUUUUCUAUUAUAAAAUUUUUUAGAUCGAGAAUAAAGUCAUUCACAAUUUGCUUUCCAGAUCAUUCUCUCUCUCUAACCCUAAUUACUUAGACCCAAUAUUUUACUCUAUCAGCACCUGUCCACUCUAAGCUCCUCCCUCUUAGUGGAAGAGAUUCUAUAUCCCUAGCCUUAAAUCUGUUAUUGAACAUACCCUAUCGAUAACUUAGGAAGAGAUCCUAGGAUUUUAUCUCCUUUAUUGCUCCUGAAAUAUCUUGCCUCAUGGCCUUUUAAAUAAAACCUUGCUCUCAAUAGAUAACUCCAUUUGAAAUAGUGGCCUCAAGCAAGAAUAUAAUAGCUCGAGUAAGAAGAAAAUAAUAUCAAAAUUUUUGAGCCUCGGGGGCAUCAUCCCGUUUCUCUCGUUAGUAUAUAAAUUUUUGAGCCUCUUUUGAUUUACUAGGCUAACUAGCCUCCUUGCCCUACAUUACUCAAAUUAUCUUCUUAAAAUUGAAUUAGCUAUUCACAAGAUGGGCCUCGAUAAAAGCUUAAGUCUUAAUGGAUUCAAUAUGAAAUUAUUUGUAGCGUCUAGAAUAUUCUCAACAGGAAGGAAGAUGAACAAGUAACAGGUAAAGUUUUGAGCAUGGUUGCAGUAUAAAUAGUGACUCAAUUAGCAGCAUCAGCGUAAGAAAGGAAAUGUUGGAAGUUGAAGAGAAGACAACUGAGGGAAGCUGUAAAGAACAGCAAGGGAAGCACUCUAGAUGGUUGAACCAAAAAAUAGUACUACUCCAGCUAUGGCAGAGUCCUCCAACUAUUCAAGACAAACAGUGCAUCAAAGAGUCGUCCACACUCUCAAAAUCAAAUGGGAGAGUAGUAGCAACUCUAUAUUGCCAACCCAGGAAACCGAAAAGUGCGAUAUAGACAGAUUCGAAGCACAAUGAUAGGAAAGAUGUACAACAGGUGACAGAGAUCUGAUUGUUAAAACAAGACUCGGCCUUUUGUUAUCGAUGGCGCCUUCAGCUUCUGAGAUUUUCUUCAAUUGGUACAAAGAGGAGAUGCCGGAGGCCUAUGAUGAGCAACCUUCCCCUUGGCACAUUCGUUCGAUCUUCUCCGAAGCGACCUGUGUGAGUUGCUACCGAUGCUUUGGCCGCUCGACUUCUGUUCACUCUGAGGGCUUCUCUCUGUGUCUUUAGCAUCCUGAAGCUGUUCUAGUGCAGCCACCACUUGAUCCAUGGUUGGUCUGUACCUUGCUUCCGAGGAUAAGCACUGGAGCGCGAGGACAGCAGCCUUUUGGGCUCCUACGAGUGAAUACUGCCCUCCCAAUCUUGGAUCCAAGACGCGGAAGAUCUUUCGCUUGCUCGUGAGAUAAGGCCUUGCCCAUUCCACCAGAUUAUGCUCUCCUGUCGGCCGGUUCUUGUCCACAGCACGUCGGCCAGACAACAACUCUAGAAGAACAACUCCAAAGCUAUACACGUCGCUUUUGGCAGUCAAAUGGCCUUUUAAAAUGAACAUGUAUGAAAUCCAGUGUCAGUACGUUCUCAUACUUCAACAUCAUAUAUGCAUGCAUAUGCUUGUCCAGAAUGAAAGUUGUUUGGCUGCAUGCGAACAACUUUCAAAUGAAAAGUCAGUUUGAAAAAAUAUUGGUAAGGAAAAUCAUGACUAUGUGUUGCAAAAAUAUUGGUAAUUGCAAAUGCAUUAUAGGCCAGACAACAACUAUCAAUUAUGCGAUCAUGGAGAGAAAACAUUCGACAUGUAUAAGAAGAUCACCUGUUGCAAGGUACUCGGGAGCUGCAUAUCCAUACGUUCCCAUGACCCUUGUAGAUACAUGACUUUUGUCACCUGUUGGACCAUCCUUUGCCAAUCCAAAAUCAGACAGCUUUGCUUCAUGAUUCUAUAAAACCACAAAAAAAAUGUCAGUGAUUUUUGUCAAUUUUGAAGGAAUAAUAAAUAAAAGCCAGAAGACCACUGACUGAAUCUAGAAGCACAUUAGAGGCUUUAAAAUCACGAUAUAUCACUUUUGCCACAUCGCUAUGCAAAAAGGCAAGCCCUUUUGCAGCUCCAAGUGCGAUCUUCAUACGAAGUUUCCAAGAUAGUGGUUGAAAAUAUGAACCCCCUGCGUCAAUAUCAAAUUACAGCGAAGAACGAUCAGAAGAGCUGAAUGACAAUCGACAGUAGUCAUUUUCAAAGAAAUGCUUCAGCCUAUCCAAUGGAUCGGAUGUAGAUCAUAUAUACUUACUCCUGAAGAGGUGGUUUUCCAAGCUCCCUCGAGGCAUGAAUUCAUAGACAAGAAGCCGUUGCUCGUCCUCUAGGCAGUAUCCAAUAAGCUUUACAAGGUGCGGAUGAGACAAUUGACCAAGAUAAUUUACCUCUGCCUACAAGAAACCGAAACAAUGUCAGAUUUGUUGCAGAAAACAGAGCACGCUUGCCGACAUACCGUGACAUGUUAAAGAUAACCUUAUACGAAGGCACUGAAUAAUCAACUCUCCAGAUUAAGCUAUUGCUAAAUAGUUAAAUUAAAAGGAAUUAAAAAAAAAACUCAAUAUACGCAGAGUAAAAUGAUACUCACCAACCAUUCCCUGUGACCUUGAUGACCUUCCUGGUUCAGCUUCUUCACAGCAAUAACCACUCCAGUGCCGGGUUUGGCAGCUGCAAGUGUGUGCUCAUCGAUCCAUCCCUUGAAUACCGAACCAAAGCCUCCCUCCCCCACCACACUGUCCGGUCGAAAGUUUCUGGUGGCUAUUCUCAGUUCAGUGAAGGUAAAGCUCUUCACAUUCACUGACUGCAAGAUCUCACCCUCGCUGCGCGGGGUUGGAGGCACAGAUGCUGCAGACACCUUGCUACUAGAACCACUUAAUUUCUUUCCAUCCCUGCUACUGCUUUUAGAGUGAAGUCCUAGGCACGAAAAUACGUCUCCUGGUGAAUCAGAUUCAGGAGAACUGAUCAAAAAAACCUACAACUAAGGAGCAAACUGACACAUGAAAUUCCCAUGCGCUCAUACCCCCAAGUUGAUCAUUAACCCAACAUGGUUGUCGAAGAAAAGAUUAAUGCAUUGGCCUCUUACAGAAUGAUUUUAGAUUAACAUGACCAUAAACACAGAGGUAAGAAAAGUCACCACACCCCAUCAAAAUCAUUCAACCAAAUGAGCCUAUGAAGACCGAAGUCAUGAUAUGCUACUACAUUUAUGUACUGUUGUCCGGUAAGACUGAUUUCUUGGGAUAAAAUCCUCAAACUCAUCUGGAGAUACAAAGAUAGGGAUGCAAAAUAAAGACAGGAUAACACCUGCAUGAACAGUUAUUCACCAUACCUCACAAAAAAUUUCCGGAAAAGGUAGGUUCAACAACAUGCAAAAGAAAGCCCCAAGUUGAUCUCUCAAAAACGAAGCCAAAAAACUAGGAGAUUUAGUCCGGGAAGACAAAUAUAUCUUUGGCUAAAAGUAAACCUAACCAAAACACACCAUCGAUCUCUGCAUUUAGCUAAAAGGGGUGAAAAUGUCACAAAACUCCAUUUUUGUUGCUGCCAAACACGUUAUGAACACCCCAAAGAUCAAACUUUCCAUUCCUAUACUUCUACAUGAACUCCACUCGAGCUCAAAACCCGCUCAAAAGAUCAUCUUGUUGGUACCUGAGGCAAAGAAGCCGUCGGAGGGACUCUCCGCCUUCACCUGAGCACCCCAGCAAUUCCCCAUCACGAUCCCCCAGCAAUUACCUCACGAACUAUGGCUCGGGACGGCGGCACCAGAUCCGUCCAAGAAGCAAUCUUUCCUAUAAAAAGCCGGUCGAAUCGAGUGCUCCUGCGACCUCAAAAGCGAACACCGACCACCACGGCGGUUCCAGCUAGCGAAAAGCGUUUCCCAGCUGCCGAACUCCAGAAUGGAAGCUCAGGUUCCACAACGUGGCACAUAUUCUGGAGCUGCAAAAGCGAUGAGGAUAGGAGAACCAAAAGGUGGCUGCUUUCAUUCUUCCCCGUCUCCCCUGUGUGUGUUCUCACCGUGCCCCUUCCGCCCCGCCAAGGUUGUCUUCACACCGCAAACAGUGAGUGGGGGUCGGGUGGUGCUUUGUUGUAAUGUCAUCAAACACACACGCAGUAUAGACCCGAUCAAAUUCAUCCACGUAGCACUAAUAACCACGUGUCUUUAUUACAGUCGCCGAUUAUUUCAAGUGUCUCUGGCUAACACCAUAAGCUGGUGCCAUUGGAUGGAGGUAUUAAUGGCGGGCCCGCUCCCGGUUACGUAACUCAGUCGGAGCCCAUCGAGCAUUAUAUUAUGAUGCAGUGGGAAUCGUUAUGUACCGCUUGAUGGAGAGCGAGGAGUGGCAUGAUGACCGUCGGAUGGGAAUCGGACGGUGCAUAGACCUGCAGCCGCCGGUGUAAGUGGACCUUCUUUGUCGGCUCCGGUGGACUCCAACUUGCGUGCUGCUUUUGCCCGUUAAAGAAUGUAUAUAUACACACACACACACAUAUAUAUAUAUAUAUAUAUNNNNNNNNNNNNNNNNNNNNAAUACCCAAAUAUUGUGUACGUAGUAAAAUACUUGUUACAACAUGAUGGAUUUGAAGUAGAUGUUUUGAGGAAACUGUGGGUGGCAGCAAUGGAAACCAGGACGAGCACGUCAACUCGUUCAUCAUCUCCAGCUAUGAUUCUCAAGUUAUAUAUGUGAGAUGCUGAGCAGAUCUGGGAGACUGCUGAUAGCAGCUGGUUGACUUCGCUGCUCUCUGCUAGAUAAUGAAACAACAUUGCUGAAGCAAUGUCUCUGACAUCUAAAUUUAACAUCAGAAAUAUUUUGUUUGGAAUGAUAUAACACUGCUUGAGGCAAUGUCUCUGAAGCAACGAUAUAACAUGCAUCGCUUAUUUUGUUUGGAAUGCAUUUGCCACUAGAAAACAAGUAAUGGAGAGAGAGAGAGAGAGAGAGAAGUUGAUCGAGGCAUUUUGAUGCAUGGCUGCUCUCUACUAGGAGACGAGGCGAUCGGACGAAGACAAGCAAUGAAGUCUAAUCUACUUGGAAGAAACAAAGUUCCCUUUUUUCUUCUUUUUUGGGAACUUUACACAUGUGAUCUAUCCAAUGAGAAAAGUUUCAUUGACCUUCAAGCGCCUGCAGUUCAUUGGCUAAAAUGAUCCUUUUGUAGGAGCCGCAGCACAGUAGUAGUAGUAGUAGGAAGGAAGGAACUCCCACCUUCAUCUGAGAGCCAAACUUUGAGCUACCAUGAUAAAGAAGAUCACAAUAAAAAUCAUGUGUUUCUGCAGCACUCUGCUCCUUGAUACCUUUCAAAGUCUCAUCUGUCUUUUGGAUCUAUACCAGCAGAAUUCUCUCGUCCUGCCAUGUCGUUCACAUGGACAUGGCUAAAGAUGAGAGUAGAAUAUUAAAAGGUGAGCAUUUGAUGUGGAUGUUUGUCCACAUUUGGCAGCUCAUGAGAACCUUCCAAUGGCUUUUAUUGGGACCCCGCAAUUUAUGGUUGCAAGUGGGCAGGUGUGCACUCUUAAUCUCUCCAUUAAAUUAUAUGGACCACAGGGAUUAACUCUGCUUCCAUUUGUGGUUAGGCAAAGGCAGGCAGCCAUCCCUUUGACUCUUCCCCAAUCCCUUCAUCACGAGACCUCUCUUUCUUCUUUCUUACCCCUUCCUUCCCCCCACAACUAAUGACUCUGUUGGGGAGCUCCAUGACAAGCACCAUGCAUCAGUUUCCUGUGCUGUGCUGUGUUAACAUUGUAGUCACAAUCACAGAAAAGAUAGGAAAUCUAGAUGCGUUCGGGGUCAAAGCUAAACAAGAGUCAUGAUGUUUCCAAAGUGUGUGCUUUGGAAAUGUUGAAGGCCUUUCGCUUCACUCAAUCAGCAACUAGUUUGACUGAAGGAUUAAAAACAUGUGCAGACGUGAAUAGUAUAACGUGAAACAGAUACUAUUGUCAUUGUGAUGCAAUCACAACAUCACCAUGCACUAUUUAUUGGACACUAUAGUCAAACAUUAAAUCAACAACUGCAGUAUGAAAUUUCAUUCAUUUUUGGGGCUGAGAAUGGCCUGACUUCUGUCUCAGAGUCUACAGUGAGUAAGUUUUUAAUAGUUAUAUAUAUAUGAAUAUAAAUACAUUGAUUACAGUUAUUUAUAAAAAUAUAAAUAAAUGGAAGGAAUGGUGAACAAUGGAUUUUUUUUUCCCAAAAGAAAAUUCUUAUUCAUUUCACUCCCUAAUAUUUGAUCCAAUAAACACAUGACUAUUAGGAAUGAAUUGUCAUGUUAGCAAUUGGGAAACAUUGCAACAGCAUUUCCUCUUAAUACUAUUUAUCAUGAUAUUAAGAGGGCUUAUUUUGAAACCACCCCAAUCUUUCGUUGUAUAUGUUCAUGCCAUGUUGCCCGUUAUGAUGAUCCGUUACAGUUGUUAACGGGUCGGAUCUAGUCCGUUGUAAAUAAAAGCAAAGAAGGGAAUCAAUUCCCGCCAUUUUGAGGGAGGUACCAUAUAGACCUUCGAGCGGUAACGGCCUCCGAUUAGGAAUUAGGGUUUGCUUUCGUCGUCGUCCUCCUCUUCUACCGCACGAUCGAGUCCCCCAUUCCCCAUCUCAUCCCCGAGGGUUUCCCAACAACGCGAAAUUUCUUAUCAAUGGCGGGCCAAUCGGAUCCCUACCUCUCCCACUUCUCGGCUCCGGAGGUGCUCAAAUCUGGUGGAGUUCAUCCCCAACAUCAGAACGGAGUCCCUCCACAUGAUUCAUGUAAUUUGAGCUCUUUCUUGAUCUCUUUAUGCCUCUAAUUCUAUGGAUUGAUGGCGAUUUUGGUGUUAUGCGCCUGCCAAGAGGAUGUCGGCCUUUCUUUCCGCAAAUCGCGAGCGAUGGCUCUGAAGAAACGUGAAAAAUGCACCAUCCGUUCUCCCGAAUCGAUGUCGGUUGGUGAGGGUUUAUUUCUUGGCUGUCAUCCAAAUUGUUGCUUUCAUGAGGUCUGAUAACAUAAGAAACAAAGAAAGAAGACUUCUUGCUAAACUAUGUCUCCUUAUAAUGCCGACUCUCCGUUAAAAUCCUUAUCGUAAAGUGCUUACCAUAAUUAUAGUAGUCUUUGAUUGGUGCAUAAUACUUCAGCCCUUGUUCCAGGACUCCAUGGAUUAGCUUCUCAGGGAAGUAAAGAGACAAUAAAUUUGUCAUCUUUCUUCUGUACCUUUCAAUUGAAGUCCUGUACAUGCUGUUAAUAUCACACUUAAAGCGAGAUCCACCUAAUUGCUAAAAGAAUCCAUAAGCUUUCUUUUCUUUAAGAAAAUGCUGGUAAUUAAACAGCUUCAUGCUAUGCAGUUGAUCUAUUCUUGUGUUUGAUGAGCAUAUGUUGUAUCAUGACAUAUAUGCUGUUGAAAUCUGAAAAUUAGUUAUUUUAGUUAUAUGAAAGCUUUUUAGUUGUGUCGGGCCAUUUUUCUAUCUCAUGAAGAAUAAUUAAACUGCUUAAUAUUUUACGGCAGUAGGUGCUUCAGUAUCUUGAUUAAUGCCCAGAACAUCAGCUGAACUUUUUGAUACAUGAGAGUCUUGUGAUCUAAUCUAACCCUUGACAUCCAUAUACAUGGAUUGUGAAUCAGUAGUUCAAGAAUUCCAUAUUUCUUUCGAGAGUCUUAUGUAUCAAAGUUCCCUUACACUGAGAAUUCUACUGCCUUUAUAACAAUAAGUUGCAGAUUCUCAGGUUUCCUUCCCCUCGAAAGCAAGUGACUGAUGAUGGCAAUCAGACAUUUGGUAUGUCCUUGGUGCUUGCAGCUAGUGAAAUGUAAUCUAUCAGGGAACCCCCAUAUGCUAAAACUAUCUUUUAUCUUCAUAAUGCUCAGUCAUAUUUUCAUGAUUUGCAAUACACACAACAAUGAUAAAAAGAACUAUAGAAAAUUGUUGCACAGUUCAUCCUGACAAGAUGUUGACACAUCAUCUUGCUGGUAUUAUUUGGUUGUUACUGUCAAAGAUUUUAAUUUUGAAUAAUACCACCCAUAUCGGGCGGUACGUACCGGUCCGCUAGCAGACCGGUACGUGGACCGCCCAUUACCGGGUGAUACCGUCGAUUGGGGUUGUUUCUGCCACGUUACCAUUCUAAAUUGGUCAUCAUCGUCCGCUACCGGGUGGGUAUUAGUCGAGGGAGAAGAACAAAGAGGAGAACUUGGAGAUCCGGUGCCGCUCUCUCUCCUCAUCUGAGGUGACGAGGGCUCACUAUCAUCGGUGACUUCUCCUCAUCCACGCGGGGAGAAGAAUCCUCGGCGAUGUCGUGGGGAGAAGAAACCGAACGUCCUCAUCCGCGCGGGGAGAAGAAUCGUCGGCAACGUCGUGGGGAGAAGAAAUUGAGUGUCGUCGAGGCAGCGUUUCUUCUUCCCACACAAGCAGAAGAAACAAGGUGACUUGCACGAGGAGAAGGAAACAGUUUCUUCUCCCCACCUUCUCUCCACGCGAGCAGAAAAGAGGCAACAUCGUGGGGAGAAGAAUUGGAGAUCCGGUGCUGCUCUCUCUCUUCAUCUGAGGCGACGAGGCCUCGCCAUCAUCAGUGACUUCUCCUCAUCCACGCGGGGAGAAGAAUCCUUGGCGACGUCGUGUUGGGAGAAGAAACCGAGCGUCCUCAUCUGCGCGGGGAGAAGAAUCGUUGGCAACGUCAUGGGGAGAAGAAAUCGAGCAUCAUUGAGACAACGUUUCUUCUCCCCACGCAAGUAGAAAAAACAAGGUGACUUGCGCGGGGAGAAGGAAACGAUUUCUUCUCCCCACCUUCUCUCCAUGCGGGCAGAAAAGAUACGACGUCGCCUUUUUCUUUAACUUGUACGUGUAUAUGUAUGUGUGUGUAUAUACAUAUAUAUACAUACAUACAUACAUAUAUAUAUGUAUAUAUAUAUAUAUAUGUAUAUAUAUACACAUAUAUGUAUGUAUAUAUAUAUGUAUGUAUAUAUAUGUAUGUAUAUAUAUAUAUAUAUAUAUAUAUAUAUUUCUUCUUACGCGUGCCAAAAAGGGUGACGAGACAGUCGAUAUAUAGUACCGUACCAUACCAUACCGAGCGAAUCUCGAAAUUCUGGUACGGUACAAAAUUUCAAUCCUUGGUUACUAUAUCUAUAUUCUUAGAGUCUACCAUCAUGGUGAAGAUUCCGUAAUAAUGACCUUUUCAGAAGUGAAACACUUAGACUUAAAUGACAUUUGUUCUUGCAGCUAAAAUGUCUCCAAGUAAAUAUAUUGAGCCCGUUCAUGGGAAGGGCCUGACAAGCUUUCAAGUGUUUCACUUCUUAGGAAGCAAACAGAUUAGAUCAUGGCCCAAGAGUAAGUCGGUCAGUUUUCAUUCUUAUAGCAUCUUAUUGGCUUUGCACUUGAAUCAAAUGGCAAAUGCAUGUUUAUGAUCUACAAGUGAUUUCUUGAAGCAUUAAUCUGCUGACUUUAUGCUUGCAUCGCUCUUGUGUACAUGUGACAGUGCUUUUGGCUAUCGUUUCUUGACGAAGUUUGUCUACAACUUUAUUUUCAUGUGACUACUUCUUGAGUAUAAAUUCUUCUCACUUAGAUUUUGUGGUUAUCCUAUCAGAUUCCGUAGCUUCUGCAUAAUUCUUUGUCCGCUAAUGAGAAUGCUCGCUCUAAUUCACUUUCCUUUUGCAGCUUUCCAUUGCAGGGAACAGUUCUGCCUUCCCUUCAUGUAGGACUCGUGUGAUCCACCGGUCUUCUUCCUCUCCCCUUGUAGCCCACCUCCGUCAUCUCUAUGCACAGGGCUGUGACGACGAUUGCUGCAAGAAAAGCAACGCCCUCGUGCUUCAGAGAGACCGGAACCUUGUGAUCUAUGGCCCAGCGCUUUGGGCCACCGGCACGAGAGUUCUGGUCUCUGCGGGUGUGGUGGUGACACAGAAGUCAACCAGUGCCGUCGGAAAGCCUAAGAACAAGAGCAUCUCCAUUCAUGGCAAAUGAAUCAAUUAGACCGAACAACGACAAAGGCUAGCUAUGUGUAUAUGAAGCGCUAUGCUCAGUGCAACUGUAACAGAAGUGAUAUCUUGGUAUCGUCGAACCCGAGGCAGCAGUAAAGAGACACCUCCUGCUGCUCAUUCUACAGUAACAUCGCAUGCGACGAAUUCAGAAGUACGCUUCAGUGAUAAAUAACGAUGAACAGUAGCAACAGCAUUUGCAAAAAGCUCGGAGGAGGCAGACCACCAACGGGCAUCGGCGUCGCCUCUCGUGUCGCAGACCUUCGUCGGUCUUAUCCUUGGAUCUUUCGUUUCUCUUGUUGUAAGUAGCACUUCGAUUCUUUCGUCCGUCUGUUGCUCGACGAAAUGCCAGCAAGACCUUGUUCGCCUUUGCGGACUUCACCACCCGUGUAUCCUCCCACAGCCCACGAGACGACCUCAAGUAGCAAGCUGGGACAAUUUGAGUCGAUUUUUCAGUUCUUUCGUUAUGGGACUUGCGCAAUGGAGCUCCACCUCUCUGCUCCCUCCGUUGUCCCGUCUCAGUUCCUCUUUCUACGUUCCUCUUUCUCCUCUCCAUGCAGCUUGGGCUAUGAUGGCGACGAUUCUCUUGGGCAGAUGCUGGAGGCGCUUCCUUGGUCUUUCCACGUCCGCUCUCUCUUUUUACGUCUUCAGUAUACUGUACCUGUGGGAAUCUGUAUCACCAUGAUUCAACAAGGUAGCCAUGCUUCCAGGUGCUGUGUGUGUCUGUUAGUUGCAUGCUUGUGACUUGUCUUUGGUUGCAGCCACUCCUUCAAUGCUGAAUGCCGUCCUCAAUACUGAGUGAGCAUUGCUUCUAUAUGGUCUUUUAUAGGUGAGAAAUCUGUUUCUAGGUGCUAUGUGCCUCUGUUAGUUGCACACUUGUGACUUGUCUUUUAUUGUAGCCGAUCCGUUAGUACUGGAUGUCAUCCUCAAUCAGUGAGCAUUGCUUCUAUAUGUUCUUUUGCAGGUGAGCUUCACAUUCCAUUCUUUGUUUUUUAUAUAGCUUGAUUCAAUUGGUAACUUCUGUGAGAUGAUUUUAUAUUUUGAAGCUUAUAUAGGUAGGAUUUGAACUCUUGUCAGUGGUGGGAAAAGACACAUGUGGUCAUCCUUUGAACAUGUCCAUAUCAUUUUAGGUGAUUCUCUAUCUUAUUCUCUAUUUGUACUACACAUAUUUCUUCAUGAAUGUGUAAUAUUUCUGUCUUUCCUACUGAGUUUGCAUGUCCACUUCAACAUAAUCAUGAACGCUAAAACAUGACUUGUCUACCAAAUUACAAUCUUUUUAGUAUAGAAGGCACUCAGUGAUCACAAAAGAUUAUCGACGUCCCCUCUCGUUUUAUCAUUCAGCUUUUGCACUAUGAAUUGAUUUUACACUUUUUUUGUCAUUCCAACAAAUAAUGUUCCCAUUGAGUGAUAAGGACCAGUGGCAAUUUAACAAUCCAUUUGUUUUGCUUAGCACUUCCCACGAAGAGGUCCUGCAUCAUGAUGAUUUCCAAUCUGCUUUCUAUCAGAUGGGAUUUUCCGCAGGUUUUUAAUUAUGAGCAUAGUGGCAAAACCAAGAAAAAAAUUCUGGAUGUGUGCCUCAGUGUCAUCUAAGGGAAGCAUUGGUUGACCCCACCUCGCUAGCACAAGGUGGGGUUGAUAAAGGCAAGCUCCAUCAGCUUCGCCCGACCCUUCGCUAGCACCAACCUCAUCUUCACCCUCCUCACCCUCACGGUGAGGUUGCAGUUGCAUCAAUCUGAGUGGGCAGGGGUCUCGAGGGUUGUCAUUGUGGUUGAGUGGAGUAGAGGUCGGCACAGCAACAAUGUUAUAGUGGGAGCAUCACCAUCCGGAGCUUUCCGACAUUUCGAACGCUCCCGAUCUAUUUGUGUAGCCGAGCUUGAUAGGGAGCACUUAAUUGUUAUCUAAUAAUGGUAUAUAGGAUGAAAGGAAAAGAUGAUGAUCACCCUCUAUCUAUCUUCCCACAUGGGAAAGGGUCAAACGCAAAUGAUUAUGGGUUGUCUUCACUUGUUACCCACGUCAACAAGAGAUUUAAGGAGAGGUUGUUAGAGGCAGUUAGAGACCGUCUCCUCACAUAAUAUUUCGUUGAAUAUUUUGUUCAUUUAUGAUUAUGUAUAAAAGCUCAUCUUCAAUAUAGUGAAGGGGGGCUUACUUUUUUUGACCACUCAUAUAUACACUAAUAUAACUCAUGUUACUAACUUCGGUGUCAAAGAGAUCAGGUCAAGAAACCUCUCCUGUCCUCGUGCAGGUGGCACCUUAGAAGUUUAGCAUUUUCACUUUGAAGACACAUCGGACAACCCUACAUAUAUGAGUUCGAACUACAUUGAGCUGAUCAGGACACCAAUGAUUUCUUCCCUUAUUGUUUUGGCAUUAGAAUGAAGGUUCAAUAUUACAAGAAUGUCCACCUGUCAAUCCUCUCAAUGAACACUCGAGCAAGGAGGCUUUACCCCCAACCCACAUUACUUUCACUCAAGGGGAGCAACAGUUAACCUUUUCGCACAUGGACAUAUCCACCUUGGUGCAAAUGUCGAUGUGGUACUAACGUCUAUUCAAUGACCUAAGCCUCUCACCCACAACGAUGACCCCGAGCCACUUGCUCAUCUCCGUUGAGGUGUUCUUGAAUCUCACACAACAAGUGUAGGCGCUAAUACGCAUGAUACAGGUCAUCCUCCACUUUUGUCCUUGUUAGCUCAAUAAGCGACGCCACAGCUUAGCCACAGUCAUCGACUCAACCGCCACCUACACUGGCACCCAUCGAGGUUCCCCACCUGACAUGGUGCUGACAUCUCAUGAGCACCCGAGACUCAUCAAACCGUCGACCAAGGGGGCAGUUCACUCCCCAACUAUAGAAUUUAGCGAGCCAUACCAUCACUUUCCCUACCUAAAUCCGAGACCCAAUCAAUAGAUUCGAUAGAGGAUUCUCUACGAAUCCAACUAUAGUAGAUGGAUCGACGUUUAGAGGAGAUGCAAUAAGAGUUCCAACAAUCCAAGGGAAGUAUUGGUUGACCCCACCUCGGGUCGGUCACCAUUCACCUAGAAAAUCUAGGAAAAAUCGAUUCUAGCAAACUUUUGCCUCCCAUCGUUGGAGGCAUUUGAUGGCAAUGUCGACCCAAUAGAACACAUUGUAGUUUUUCAUGCCCAAAUGUUAUUGUAUGACACUUCGAACGCUAUGAUGUGCUGCACCUUCUCGAUUAUAUUAAAAGCCCUAGAACGAGAAUAUUACACUUGCUUGAAGCUGCUAUCCAUCAGUUCAUUUGCCCGUCUCGUAAAGAAGUUCGAAUUUCACUUCCUCGGAAAUAUGCACCCAAGGCCAUUAGCAACAACGCUUCUCAAACUCAAGCAAGAGGAGGAGGAAAUGCUUACAGACUUCAUCGCUUAGUUCACUAAUGAAAUCCAAGGCAUGGUAGAUGUCCAUCUGUUGCUUAUAAUGCAUACCUUUAUAAUGAGGCUCAAGCCCUCUCGUCUCUUCUAAUCGUUAGUAGAAAUGCCAUCGACGACAAUACCAAGGUACUUCAAAGGGACAAUCAAUAUAUUGCCACCGAGGUAAUGGUCGCUAGUAAGCAUAGGAAGUCAAGCAAGAGGUCGAAGCAAAAACAACCACAAUUCACCUUGACCUCGAGAUCACUACGGUGAAGGAGGAACGAACGACUUUAGUUACCUCGCCCAAGGUCCGAGCUAACUCCCCUGAAUAUGUUUAGAACUAAAGUUUUUCUACAGAUAAAAGAGAAGGGGCUCUUAAAAGACCCUUACUCAAUGAUGACUUCGUUGGUGAAAAAAGACGGGUCUAAAUACUAUUAGUUCAUCGACAUGAAAGAAUAGAUUGAAAAACUCAUACGUCGAGGACAUCUCGAGCAAUUCAUUCAAUAACAUAAGGAACUCUCACCCUGACCUGAGGCACUAGUGGAGAACCGAGGCUAAGUAGAGAUGGCUCCUAAAGGGGCUUUGGAGGUUCAAAUGGAAGAAUGAGCCUCACCCCCCACGGUCAAGGGGGAUUUAUAGUGACGUGAUCAAUCUCCCUCCUCCAACAUUGAUGACAAGUGUCCUUUCAAGUUGAUUCCAAAGAGACAUCAAUUGAUGAAAGGGCACCUCGGAAAGCGUAAAAGUGAUCAAUGUGCGAAGUGUUGAAUAUCGGAUUUUGAUAAUGAAAUCAAUUGAUGAGUUUACGAUCUAAUCUAUAUUUUGAGUGACACAAGAUUAACUUCGAUCAAAAAAGAUAAAUCGAUUAAAGCAGGAGGAAUCAGACAUUGGACCGGAGUGAAAUAGGUCGGGAGAUUGGACAUCGAGCCGGAGGAUCGGUCGACAUACCGGCAUAAGGUCUUCGUGUCAUGAGUUUAGGUAUCGGGCCAAAUGAUCAGAAAUUGCACCAAGGAGAUCAGAAGUUACGGGAGUCAACAUGUUGCUUGGGCAAUACGUUAAAGGAGAUGACGAUGCGUCGAAGGAUCGGAGGAAGCGCUAGAUGAACCAAUGACAUGUCGGACAACAUAGGAUUCAUGCUUAUAAUCAAUUAUGUCUAGAUCAAGUUAGUUUAGGUCUAAUUGAGUCGGUAUUUGGGUGAAACAAUGCCAAUUCAAUUAGGGGUCAAUUGGACCCGAAUUAGGGUUGUUUUAGGCUAAGUGAAAGGCUCAUUCAGUGACCCAUAACAGGCCCAAGCGGUGGCACCGUCAGACUGGGUAGUGAUACCGCCCAGAUAUAGUCUCUCAGACCGUGUCAGACGAUGGAACCGCUAGACUGGGCGGUGGUACCGCCAGAUUGAGCGGUGGUACAGCCUAGUGUUAGUGCUGUAGGCGAUGGUACGGUCAGGACUCAAGAAACCCGGGAUGAGACUAUUUUUUACUUUAUUUUUGAAGUCAUUUGGGAUCUAUAAAUACCCCAGUUAUUUUUUCUUGGCAAAGCACGAAACUGAGUAGAAAAGGGAGAAAGAAUACUUGAGAAAAAAAGUUAGAAACUCUCUUAGGAUUUAGAGUCUCUUCCUUUUAGAGUUAGAAAUUUUUCUAAGGGAAUAGUGAAGUCUAAAAGAGAGGUGUAAAGGUUCUCUCCUGAGCUUGUGAAAAUGAGAAAGAGUUGUAAGAGUAGUUGAUUUUUGCCCGUUGAAAGAAGAUCGAUAGUGAAAGUCGAUGGUCUCGAGUGAAGAGUAAUCGGGAGUGGAUAUAGGUCACGACGAUCAAACCACUAUAAAUCUGGUGUACUCGGUUUGUAUUUCUAUUAUGUUUUUCAUUCUCAUAUUUUAAAGCGAUUUACUUGCUUACGACUCUUACUACGCAUACGAACGUGCUCUCUAAGUUUAAACACCCCCCCUCGCUUAGUGCCGAUUUCGGUCCUAACACGAAGAUUAUCUUGGAAGUACAAAAAUGAUCGAUGUGCAUAGAGCACUUCGAAGAGCAUAAAAAUGACCAAUAUGUGAAGACCAUAUUGCAAAAUGCAAAAGUGAUCGAUGAGCAAAAAACUCAACCCAGGUAAGAAGAAAUCCGUCACGGUAGGAGAUACAAGAUAAAAUAUGCUCGAGACGUAUGAAUCACAAAAACCCAACGUGCGUUAGAAGGAACCCACCACGAUGGGAGGCAUAAGGCAAAAUGUGAAUGAGGUGCGUAAGUAAGGAAAGCCCAACCCGUAUAAGAAGAAACACGCUACGACGGGAGACACAAGAGAAAAUGUGUCCAAGUCGCAUGAGUCAGGAAAACCUGAUCAAUACCGGAAGAAACCCAUCAUGACGGGAGGCACAAGAGAAUAUGUGCUUGAGACACACGAGUCAAAAAACCUAACUUUCGUAAAAAAAAAAAAAAAAAAACCAACGAGAGGCAUAAGGAAAAAUAUGCCCAAGGCAUGUCAGUUGGGAAAGCCCGACCUCCACCUCCACCUAAGGUAGAGAGAUUGGGAAGUUCAAACCCCGUCUCCACGCAAGGUGUGGAGGUUUGGAAACUUGACCCCCGCCUCCGCUCGAGGUAGGGAGGUCGGGAAGUCCGAUCCCACCUCCGCUCGAGGUAUGGAAGUCGGGAAGCCCAACCCCACCUCCGUUCGAGGUAUGGGGGUUGGGAAGCUCGACCCCCACCUCUGCUCAUGGUAUGGAGGUCAGGAAGCCUGACCCCCGCCUAAGGCUCGAAGGUCGGAAAACCCGACCUCGUCCGACCAAUAUGCAUCCCUCGAUGAUACGGGGGCCAGGUCGGUAAUUGAUCGCAACCAGCAACGCUAGGGGAGACAAUCAUAAAUGGAUGUGUCAAACGAACUCAUGUUAGACGAUAUGAGGUGCAUGAUAGACUAGACGUGCAGGAUGAAUUUGUGUUGGAUAAACUAAACAUGCCACUAGGUCGACAAUGGAUUGAAGAUCUAUGAGCCCUGAGGCAUGCCUUUAGAGGAGGAUAAAUGAUAGGGAGUACAAUGUCAACUAAUCGUCAUCUGACAUGUAACAACCACGUGGUGUCUAGGGUGAAAGAAGAAGACGAAUAUCACCCUCCACCCGUCUACUCACAUGAAUAAAAGUUUAAAAUAGAGGCUAGAGGCUACUCCCUCCCUUGUCACCCACAUAGAUAAGAGGCCAAGGGGAGGCUAUUGGAGGCGGUUAUAAAAUAUUAUGUCCCUUUACGAUCAGAUAUAAAAGCUCGUCUUCAACAACACAAUGAAGAGGAGAUUAUCUUUUUUGACUGCACUCGUAUAUCUCGGAUAACUAACGAGCAUCGAACGGAUCAGGUCUAGAAAUCUCUCCCGAGCUCAGUCUUCAUGUAGAUAGCACCUCGAGGGCUCAACGUUUCCACCGCAUAGGCACCUUAGACAACCCUACACAUAUGAGUCCAAACAAUAUCGAGUUGAUCAAGACGUUAAUAACUUCUUCCCUCAUUAGAGUUCGUUCAGCCAUGGACUUGAAGAUGUCAAGCUCAUUCCACCAUGGACUUUGCUUGGGUCGAGCCGACAACCCCGAAGAUGCCAAGCUCGUUCCGCCAUGGACUCCGACUGGGUUGAGCCAGCAACCCCAACUCCCUGCUCCCACCGGUCCAAGUCGAUGGCAGCUGCGGAACCUCAUUUCCGCUGCCAUUGCUACUGCUACCCCGAUGAUAAGCUUGUUGCUAUCAUAGAGAGCAAAUGACAGAAGUAACAAAGAAAGAAAUUAGCAACACUGGUGUGAAGCUGAUGAGGGGAAAAGAAAUGGACAAAGAGAAAAAGGCAAAGAGAAGGCUCACCUGGUCCAAGUUAGGUGGAUGGACAUGUACGGGAACAGACAACUGGUUUGGAGACUGCUUGCUUCUCUUUCGGCAAAAGAGAACGGAGUGAUGAUACGUCUGCUUUCUCGUGGCUUUUAUGUUUUUAUAUUCUUGGGUGAGGUUCUAGCCAUGGCGCCAGGGAAGAAAGAGAGAGCGAGAGCGAGAGAGAGAGAGAGAGAGAGAGAGAGAGAGAGNNNNNNNNNNNNNNNNNNNNNNNNNNNNNNNNNNNNNNNNNNNNNNNNNNNNNNNNNNNNNNNNNNNNNNNNNNNNNNNNNNNNNNNNNNNNNNNNNNNNNNNNNNNNNNNNNNNNNNNNNNNNNNNNNNNNNNNNNNNNNNNNNNNNNNNNNNNNNNNNNNNNNNNNNNNNNNNNNNNNNNNNNNNNNNNNNNNNNNNNNNNNNNNNNNNNNNNNNNNNNNNNNNNNNNNNNNNNNNNNNNNNNNNNNNNNNNNNNNNNNNNNNNNNNNNNNNNNNNNNNNNNNNNNNNNNNNNNNNNNNNNNNNNNNNNNNNNNNNNNNNNNNNNNNNNNNNNNNNNNNNNNNNNNNNNNGAGAGAGAGAGAGUGAUGUGUUGGCUACAUAAAUCGCAUACCCAAUGCUAACAAUUUUGUAUCAUUUGACUCGACAAUGCCGAAGUGUAAUUAGUUUCAGAAAAAGGUAUAAGCAGACUUCAUGUAAAACUGACGCAACAAUAAUAGUUCAAAAAUAAGAGGGCAUGGCCCAUGACAUACGGCCAAUAGCAACCCCAACAGUUCAAAUUUGACAUUCAAUGAAACUAAAGCGAGAACGAGAUACCAUUGAGACAACAUCAAGGACGGCCGAACUUAAUCCACCUCCUCAAUCUUGGGACCUGCACCACUGGCACCAGCAGAGGGUGCGUCAUCAUCCAUUCCACCACCCAUGUCAGCACCGGCACCCUGAUACAUCUUGGCGAUGAUGGGGUUGCAAAUGCUCUCCAGCUCCUUCAUCUUGUCUUCGAACUCGUCAGCUUCUGCCAACUGAUUGCCGUCGAGCCACUGGAUUGCCUGAUCAAUGGCAUCCUCGAUCUUCUUCUUAUCGGCAGCUGCAAGCUUGGAUGCAAUCUUAUCAUCCUUGAUGGUGUUUCUCAUGUUGUAAGAGUAGUUCUCCAGAGCAUUCUUAGCCUCCACCUUCUUCUUGUGCUCCUCGUCCUCCGACUUGUACUUCUCCGCUUCCUGCACCAUCUUCUCGAUGUCCUCCUUGCUGAGCCUACCCUUGUCAUUGGUAAUGGUGAUCUUGUUCUUCUGGCCGGUGGUCUUGUCCUCAGCAGAGACGUUCAAGAUACCAUUGGCAUCAAUGUCAAAGCAAACGGUGAUCUGAGGAACACCCCUAGGAGCAGGUGGAAUUCCAGAGAGUUCGAAUUUGCCCAGCAGAUUGUUGUCUCUGGUCCUCGUCCUCUCACCCUCGUAAACCUGAAUCAGGACACCGGGUUGGUUGUCAGAGUAGGUAGAGAAGACUUGCUCCUUCUUUGUGGGGAUGGUGGUGUUCCUGGGAAUCAAGACAGUCAUGACUCCUCCCGCGGUCUCCAGACCAAGAGAGAGAGGCGUGACAUCCAACAGAAGCAGGUCCUGAACCUUCUCAUUGCCCUCACCGCUAAGAAUUGCAGCCUGAACAGCAGCACCAUAAGCAACUGCCUCGUCAGGAUUAAUACUUUUGCAUAGCUCCUUACCAUUGAAAAAGUCCUGCAGCAGUUGCUGAACCUUUGGAAUUCUGGUAGACCCACCAACAAGAACCACAUCAUCGACACUGCUCUUGUCCAUCUUGGCAUCCCUCAAACACUUCUCGACAGGAUCCAUGCACUUCCUGAACAGGUCCAUGUUAAGCUCUUCAAACCUGGCUCUGGUGAUGGUGGUGUAGAAAUCAACACCCUCGUACAAGGAAUCAAUCUCAAUUGUGGUUUGUGCAGUGGAGGAGAGAGUCCUCUUUGCCCUCUCACAUGCUGUCCUCAACCUUCUAAGAGCUCUAGGGUUCCCACUUAUAUCUUUCUUGUGCUUUCUCUUGAACUCUUGGACAAAAUGGUUUACCAUUCGGUUGUCAAAAUCCUCACCACCAAGGUGAGUAUCACCAGCAGUAGCCUUGACCUCAAAAAUACCUUCUUCGAUUGUAAGAAGAGAGACAUCAAAGGUGCCACCACCAAGGUCAAAGAUGAGGACAUUCUUCUCACCAACACUACUAGCCUUCUUGUCAAGACCAUAAGCGAUAGCAGCAGCAGUGGGCUCAUUGAUAAUCCUCAUAACAUUAAGACCAGAAAUGACACCAGCAUCUUUAGUGGCCUGGCGCUGUGAGUCGUUAAAGUAAGCAGGAACAGUGACAACAGCAUUCUUGACGACAGAUCCCAGGUAUGCCUCAGCAAUUUCCUUCAUCUUCAUCAAGACCAUGGAAGAAAUCUCUUCAGCAGAAAACUGCUUUUCCUCCCCCUUGUACUGGACAGCAAUCAUAGGCUUGUCACCUGGACCAGAAGUGACCUUGAAAGGCCAGAGCUUGAUGUCGCUCUGGACAGAUGCAUCGGUGAAUCGCCUUCCAAUCAAUCGCUUUGCAUCUGGAAGGAGAAGGAACAUAUGAGCCACUACACUUUCAAAGUAACAACAACUAAAGGUUUCUAAGAAAAUAAAAUAGGUAAAGCAAUCUUUCACAUGCCAAAAUGGGCAAACUAAGCAAUGCAAUAGAACGUGCAAAUAUGAACCAUUAAGCAUUUAAAUGAGUGCCAACAAGCAAAACUCUUUUAUCAAUAUUAAUUGGACUGCCAAGCAUUUCCUUGUCAUUAUCAAAGAUUCUAGACACUGUUACUGUAUUUAGUAACUUGAGAGGAAGAUAGCCGCAUCUGUUAGAGGUUAUCCAAUAAAAAAACUUUUUUUUAUGAAUACAGCAUUAGACUGGCCAGAAAGAAGCAGACAAGAGACAACAAGCAUUCUAGAGUUUCAUGGCUAAAUCAAUCUUGGCAAAAUUGUAGUUGCACAUAAGAAGAAACUGACAUCACAACCUUACUUGCAGCAACUAAUUCAUUACCACAGCACAUGAAAUGAGUUUGUUUCAAAACCAUGAUAAAAGAUAUCCUUGAAGAACCACGAAUUAUAUGGUUCUAGCAUUAAAGAAAGCAUUAUAUAGCCAUGAAGCAAGGAAACAUAAUAAAAAAUUAAUUAUUGCCUAUAGUCAAGACUUCUGCACCAAAGUAAAAGUGAGAACAAAUCAUACUUGAGCACAAGUGAAAGAAGCAAAAAAUAAGAUCAACAAGAACAUAAGAUUACUGGAUUAUAAAAAUAAUGAAAGUAAAUAAAACAUGUGGAGCCAUUUGGAUGUAAAAAAACAAGAAUCCUUGGUUUGGAAUCAAUUGAUCGUGCAGAAUUUUCUAAGAAAUUCUUUGACUUCUUCAGAGAGAAGAUGAUAUUUUUUUCAUUUGCUUCUCGUGUUCUGUGAAUAACCAGGACACUGAGGUAGAGGCCUUUGCCUCUCCUCUGCUGUGAUCAAACAUGAAUUCAUAAGAGGUUUGUGGGAUUGGAUGGUAGGGUAGGGAUGGCUAUAUUGUCAAAGGAGAACUCCAGGCUAAAAUGAAACACAUGGCUACAUGUUAUGCCUAUAAAUGAGAGAAUUACAAAUCUGCUAUUUCUACAAACAAGGAAGAGCAGUUGGAUGCCAACUGGUGAUUGCUUGUGGUUUCAUAAUUAAUUUGGGGUUAUCAAGUUAAGUCAGCAUAUACAGGUUAAAUGUUAUACAAUAGCAUCUCGGAAGAGUACACAUAUGUACCACUGUUUUGUCCUAGAAUUAGCACCUCUUGACUAAAUUUCUCAGCUCAUGAACUCCAAAUGGCACUGCCUUGAACAUACAAUUCAAGCAUUAAUAACAAUUUACAAUGGCCUUUACAGUCGUUCACUAUAUGACCUAUUGAAUCAUUUUAAAACUAGUGCUUGGGAAACUUUCAAAUUAUGUUUUUCAAAUCCUAUUGAAAUCAUUCUGACUAUUUAUUUUCAUAAGCUCGUAUUAAUACCUAAAAGACCCAUACCUAUUUUAGCUUUCUGUAAGAAAAAGAACAAAGCAAAGAGAGUUCAGCUAUUGAUUUCUCUUUGUCAUGAUUAUGACAAGUAGGACCAAGUCAAACCGCCAACUAGCUGAUAUACAGGAAGUGCGAAAGAGUAAUCCAAGCAAACUUUUUGUAAUAGUUCUAAAGUAUCAUGCAGUAGAUUAAUAAGCUAAUAUUCACUGGUUCUUCUUCCUUUCAUGAAUUUUCUGCUAUUAUCCCAAGCAUAUCUUUAUUUCCUUCCCCACUCUGCUGCAAAAACAUCUAUUAGAUAAUACCCUUAUCCCAGUUAGCGCUAUCGUAAACCAAUAUAAAAGUGUGCUUUCUUCUCUUGUAAGUAGCAUCAAAGACACUAUCACAGAGGCCUCAAGUACAUGAGCACAUUCAAAAUCCAGGUAACACAGCAACUCAACCCAUAUCCAAAUCCCUGAAGCUCUGUAUAACAAACGGUGCAAGUAUCAAAAGGCAAAUGAUCUGUUGACUCGAAGCUACAUAGUCUGCUUUAUUUCCUUGGCGAGUUAUCUAGUCACAAACCUCAUAACUACUACAAAAGAUGUACCAGAAAACAUUCAAACCAAUGAAAGAAGGGUUCUAAUAAUUUGGUUCUUGCGAGCAAGCAUACCCAAAACGUCUCCAAAGAGAAGAACCAUACCCAAGCAAACAUAUCACAUAACAGCCAGAUCAAACUCACGAUUGUAAACGAUCACAAAAUAAUAGCUAAUGAUUCCAGAUCUAGCCAGAUCUAGUGCAAGUAAGCCCAAUGGAGCAAAAUUAAUCAUAGAUCUUUCAUCAAUAAUGAAUGAUAACGAAAACCUAGUGCUAACAUCGUUCAGAAUAUAAAGCACAGAUCCAAAUCACCAUACGUAAGCCAUCUCAAGAAUCAUCAAGCGAUCUCGAGGGGCAUACUCACCGAAAACAGUGUUGAUAGGGUUCAUGGCGACCUGGUUCUUGGCGGCGUCACCGAUGAGCCGCUCGGUGUCCGUGAAGGCGACGUAGGAGGGGGUGGUGCGGUUGCCCUGGUCGUUGGCGAUGAUCUCCACCCGGUCAUGCUGCCACACCCCGACGCAGGAGUAGGUGGUGCCGAGGUCGAUCCCGAUCGCCGGCCCAUCACCCUUACCGGCCAUUUCUCUAGAGAUCUAGGACGAGAGC
rnacentral:lncRNA from 1 species